rnacentral:rRNA from 1 species
UGACGGGGCUCAACGGGGAAUCUGGGGUUCGAAUUCCGGAGAGGGAGCCUGAGAGAUGGCUACCACAUCCAAGGAGUUCGGCAGCAGGCGCGCAAAUUACCCAAUUCCGUGACACAGGGAGGUAGCGACAAGAAAUACCGAUUAGAUAGCACACUUGUGUUAUCUUAAUUGGAAUGACAUUUAUUUAAACGUUAAACGGAGUAACGAUUGGAGGGCAAGUCUGGUGCCAGCAGCCGCGGUAAUUCCAGCUCCAAUAGCGUACACGAACGUUGUUGCAGUUAAAACGCCCGUAGUCUGAAUUGUGAGGUUUUUGGAAUUUUUUGCAAUCUUUUGUAAAAAUUCCAACGAGACCUCAUCUCCAAGUGCAUACCUUGAGUGGUCUUGAUUGAAUUGCUUGAGGUUGUGCACUUGAAACUUUACUGUGAAAAAAUUAGAGUGUUUCAAGCGUUUUUUUUGAAAGGAUAGCUUAGCAUGGUAUAGAUGAAUUCGAGGCCAUUUCAGCGUGUUUGGCAUAGGAGCAUGAAAUGUUUGCCAAUAAAAUCAACAGGGGUAGUUGGGGCCAUUUGUAUUCCAUAGUCAGAGGUGAAAUUCUUGGGAUUUUGGAAGACAUACUGCUGCGAAAGCGUUUGGCAAGGAUAUACCCCAUUGAUCAAGGACGAAAGUUAGGGGAUCGAAGACGAUUGCGAUACCGUCGUAGUCUUAAUUAUAAACGAUGCCAUCUAAGAGAUGGUGUAUUGAAUAUUGAAAUCGUACAUCCUUUUUUCCGGGAAACCAAAGCUUUGGGUUCUGGGGGGGAGUAUGGUCGCAAGUCUGAAACUUAAAGGAAUUGACGGAAGGGCACCACCAGGAGUGGAGCCUGCGGCUUAAUUUUGACUCAACACGGGGCAACUUACCAGGUCCGGACAUUUUAUGAUUGACAGAUUUGAUAGCUCUUUCUUGAUCCGAAUGGGUGGUGGUGCAUGGCCGUUCUUAGUUGGUGGAGUGAAUUUGUCUGGUUAAUUCCGUUAACGAACGAGACCUUUUCCUGCUAACUCCAGUUUAUUUGCUUUUCUUUGAAAGGAAAUGGAUAAACUUCUUAGAGGUACUAUUCGUUUUUCACGGAUGGAAGUUGUAGGCAAUAACAGGUCUGUGAUGCCCUUUUGAUGUCCUGGGCUGCACGCGGGCUACACUGAUGCAUUCAAAGAGUUUUUCUACCUACUCUGACAAGAGUUAUUUUGGGUAAUCUUUGAAAGUGCAUCGUGCUUGGGAUUGAAUUCUGAUCAACUGUAUUCAUGAACUGAGAGGAAUUCCUUGUAAAACGCGAGUGUCAGCUCAACUUGCGUUGAAUACGUCCCUGCCCUUUGGCCACACACAUUCCA